rnacentral:rRNA from 1 species
UACGUAGAGUGCGAGCGUUGUCCGGAAUUAUUGGGCGUAAAGAGCUCGUAGGCGGCCUUCCGCGUCGAUCGUGAAAACUUGGGGCUUAACCCUGAGCUUGCGGUCGAUACGGGCAUGACUGGAGUUCGGCAGGGGAGAGUGGAAUUCCUGGUGUAGCGGUGAAAUGCGCAGAUAUCAGGAGGAACACCGGUGGCGAAGGCGGGUCUCUGGGCCGAUACUGACGCUGAGGAGCGAAAGCGUGGGGAGCGAACAGG